GGACCUGACUGCUAUCGGAUUGAUACUAAGCCAUGCGAGUCAUUGUAGCAGUACAAGGCAUACGGCUCAGUAACGCGUAGUCAACCUAACCUAUGGACGGGAAUAACCUCGGGAAACUGAGAAUAAUGCCCGAUAGAACAUUAUGCCUGGAAUGGUUUAUGUUCCAAAUGAUUUAUCGCCGUAGGAUGGGACUGCGGCCUAUCAGUUUGUUGGUGAGGUAAUGGCCCACCAAGACUAUUACAGGUACGGGCUCUGAGAGGAGUAGCCCGGAGAUGGGUACUGAGACACGGACCCAGGCCCUAUGGGGCGCAGCAGGCGAGAAAACUUUGCAAUGUGCGAAAGCACGACAAGGUUAAUCCGAGUGGUUUCUGCUAAAGAAACCUUUUGUCAGUCCUAGAAACACUGAUGAAUAAGGGGUGGGCAAGUUCUGGUGU
rnacentral:rRNA from 1 species